UUUCCGUAGGCGAACCUGCGGAAGGAUCAUUCAUAAUAAGUGUUUUAUGGCACUUUCUUAAAUCCAUAUCCACCUUGUGUGCAAUGUCAGGGCUGAUUUUUCUCUCGAGAGGAUCAACCCCAAACAUCAACUAUAUCUCAACUCUUUGUCUGAAAAAUAUUAUGAAUAAAACAAUUCAAAAUACAACUUUCAACAACGGAUCUCUUGGCUCUC
rnacentral:misc_RNA from 1 species